AUGAAGCUGGAAUCGCUAGUAAUCGCAGAUCAGAAUGCUGCGGUGAAUACGUUCCCGGGUCUUGUACACACCGCCCGUCACACCAUGGGAGUUGGAAAUGCCCGAAGUCAGUGACCGAACCGAAAGGAAGGAGCUGCCGAAGGUGGAGCCGAUGACUGGGGUGAAGUCGUAACAAGGUACC
rnacentral:rRNA from 1 species